rnacentral:rRNA from 1 species
GUCCACGCUGUAAACGAUGAGAGCUAGUUGUCGGCACGCAUGCGUGUCGGUGACGCAGCUAACGCAUUAAGCUCUCCGCCUGGGGAGUACGGCCGCAAGGUUAAAACUCAAAGAAAUUGACGGGGGCCCGCACAAGCGGUGGAGCAUGUGGUUUAAUUCGAAGCAACGCGAAGAACCUUACCCACGUUUGACAUGUCCAGUUUGGUCGGCAGAGAUGCCUUCCUUCACCUCGGGUGGCUGGAACACAGGUGCUGCAUGGCUGUCGU